GACGAGCGCUGGCGGCGUGCUUAACACAUGCAAGUCGAACGGAGAGGCCCUGCUUUUGUGGGGUGCUCGAGUGGCGAACGGGUGAGUAACACGUGAGUAACCUGCCCUUGACUUUGGGAUAACUUCAGGAAACUGGGGCUAAUACCGGAUAGGAGCUCCUGCUGCAUGGUGGGGGUUGGAAAGUUUCGGCGGUUGGGGAUGGACUCGCGGCUUAUCAGCUUGUUGGUGGGGUAGUGGCUUACCAAGGCUUUGACGGGUAGCCGGCCUGAGAGGGUGACCGGCCACAUUGGGACUGAGAUACGGCCCAGACUCCUACGGGAGGCAGCAGUGGGGAAUAUUGCACAAUGGGCGGAAGCCUGAUGCAGCAACGCCGCGUGCGGGAUGACGGCCUUCGGGUUGUAAACCGCUUUCGCCUGUGACGAAGCGUGAGUGACGGUAAUGGGUAAAGAAGCACCGGCUAACUACGUG
rnacentral:rRNA from 1 species